UGGGGGGUGGACCAGGUGGCAGAAGCAGAGGUGGAGGGGUCAGCCAAGGGGCGUUGAGCGCUGGGGGGAGCUGGGCCUGGCGUGGAUGUCACAGGUGCGUGUUGUGCCCCCAGUGGCCAGCAGGUGUCGCCCCAGACAGCUCCUUGCCUUCCCCUGGUCCCCUCCCUGCCCAUCCUGAAAGAGGCACAGAAGGUGCAUGUCUUUUGAACCUGACGGCUGGGCGGCCCUUUCCAGGUCUCGACACCAGCCCCCGCCUGGUCAGCCGGGCAGGCAGCUCCAGCACCCUCUGCAGAAUCUGUAUGGCCUGGAGCUAAAUGAAAAAAUAGGGCCCCCGUUUAAAAAUUCCGAAAAGGCUGGGUGCGGUUGCUCACACCUGUCAUUUCAGCGCUUUGGGGGGUCCAGGCGGGCAGAUGAUUUGAGGUCAGGAGUUCGAGACCAACCUGGCCACAUUGGCGAACCCGACAUCUCUACUAAAAAUACAAAAAAUUUGCAAGGUGUGGUGCAUGCCUGUAGUCCCAGCUACUUGGGAGCCUGACGCACAGUCGUUGCUUGAACCUGGGAGGCGAAGGUUGCAGUGAGCCGAGAUCGCGCCAUUGCACUCCAGCCUGGGAGACGGACUGAGAAUCCUCAAAAUCAAUAAAUAGCCCGGGUGUGGUGGCUCAUAUCUGUCUACUAAAAAUACAAAAAUUAGCCGGGCGCGGUGGCUCACGCCUGUAAUCCCAGCACUUUGGGAGGCUGAGGUGGGUGGACCACUUGAAGUCAGGAGUUUGCGGCCAGCCUGGUCAACAUGGUGAAACUCUGUCUCUACCAAAAAUAUAAAAAUUAGCCAGGCGUGGCGGCGGACGUCUGAAGUCCCAGCUACUCAGGAGGCAGAGGCCAUUGCACUCCAUCCUGGGCAACAGAGUGAGACUCUUAAAAAAAAAAAAAGGAUAAAAGAACUUGGAGUUGGCCGGGCGCGGUGGCUCACACCUGCAACCCCAGCACUUUGGGAGGCCAAGGCAGGCAGAUCACAAGGUCAGGAGUUCGAGACCAGCCUGGCCAACAUAGUGAAACCCCAUCUCUACUAAAAAUACAAAAAAAAAAAAAAAAAAAAAUUAGCCAGAUGUGUUGGCGGGCACCUGUAAUCCCAGCUACACGGGAGGCUGAGGUGGGAGAACUGCUUGAACCUGGGAGGCGAAGGUUGCAGUGAGCCGAGAUCGCGCCAUUGCCCUCUAGCCUGGGUGACACAGCAAGACUGUCUCAAAACAAAAACAAAAGAAAAAACUUGGAGUUAUUAGAAGUGUAAGUUGGUCCACGCACUUUGGCAAAAGAUGGUUAAUAUCUAGGAAAUACUCUAUAACCCAGCAGUUCUACCACUGGAUAUUGAGUCACAGAAAGCCAUACAAAUAAUCACAAGACAUGUACCAAAUGUCCACAGCUAUCCUGUUCAUUACAGACCCAAACUGAAAUUGAACCAAAUGCCCAUCAACAGUAGAAUGGAUGAGUAGAUUGCAGCUUAUUCACCCAGAGGAACAGUCUGUGACGAACCAUGACCACGUGCAAGACUGAACUAAUAAUACACGACAGAUGCCCAGGACGGCGGGCAGCAUGUGGCGAGGAAGUAGCUUUGCCCGUUUGGGGGAACUACAAGGGAGCUUUGCCCAGAAGCUGAAGAAAUGGGCAGAGCUGGGGCUUGGAUCCAGGGAGUUGGCUCAUUUAUUGUGAGGCCAACGGGAGCCACAGAAGGUCAUUUCUGUGUCAGCCACCUGGAAGUUCUGCACGGCCGCCACCUGUGUCUGCGUUUCUUCGCCUGUCCCGGGCGGGAGUGCCCCUCGUCACUGCCAUCCGGUUGGGGGCAGGAAGGUGGGUGGCUGGGUGUGCAGGCGGCACCUGCCCGCCCGGUGACCGGACAGGGGCCCUAUCGUACUUCCUAUCUGCCAUUCGUUAUGAAUCAACAGCGGAGAAAACCGCACGUUUGUGCUGGGCUGCUGAGGCCUCAUCAACCGCUGUCACCGAGCCCUGGUGUUGGGAGGAGGCGGGGACGGUGGCUGCCGACGGCUGUGUGACCCUGGGCGUGUCCUAGCCCUCUCUGAACCUUGCCUUAUCUAUAAAGAAACCGGAGGCCCCCGAACCACGUGUAUCUCUUGGAAAGGAGAGUUUUGGCCCAGAACUUUCUAGAAUUUUCUACAGCCUCUCCAUGGGGUGAGGAAUCUUCACCCAAACACUCUGGCUCUGAGUACCUAGGAAGCAGCAGCGUUUUCACCGAGCCACUGCCAGCUCACUUCUAGGCCCCCGACGCCCCAGAGGGAUGAGGACAGCGUGGCCUGAUGGCCCUCCCUGGUAAGGUCUCCUGGACCGUCGAGUCUACCCCUAAAGUCCCUGUCACACCCAGUCAGCCCGUCUGACUUCUCCUGAUCCAAAUACCCCUUGUCUGUGUGACCUGCGCUGACCCAUCCGAGCGGCGGCCCCGAGCCUCUCCAGAAGCAGCUCUUUCCACCAUCCAGCAGGCUCAGGUGUGUAAAAAUAGGCAUAUACACAUCGACUUUAUAUGUAUGUGUCUAUGUAUACGGAUGUAUGUGUAAAAUAUAUGUAUGUUUUUAUGUAUAUUUAAUACACGUGUAUGCAUAUAUAUGUGUGUAUGUGUAUAUUUUUAAAAUAUAUGU